rnacentral:misc_RNA from 1 species
CAAUGCCAAUGCAGCAAUGCGACUUGCCUCACCUGUAGGGUGUGGUGGAAUGCAGAUUAUAGAGUGGAGGUGAGGAGCCUCUUGGAGCCAGAGACGCCGACACAGACGCGAGUCGCAGUCGCGGGUCUUGUCCAAGAAUCCCUACCCAUCACAACACAAUCACCGGUCUCAAAUCAGGCAGGACUACCCGCUGAACUUAA